ACCACUGUGGCAUAGUGGUUUGAGUGUUGGACUGUGAUUCUGGAGACCAGGGCUCAAUUCCCUGCUCUGCCA